CGGGAAAUCCACCGCCUAACGAGUGGGCGUCCGGCGGAAACUACAGGGCUUGGGACCGGAAGACUUGAGGGGUACGUCUGGGGUAGGAGUGAAAUCCUGUAAUCCUGGACGGACCGCCGAUAGCGAAAGCACCUCAAGACGACGGAUCCGACAGUGAGGGACGAAAGCUAGGGUCUCGAACCGGAUUAGAUACCCGGGUA
rnacentral:rRNA from 1 species